GUAGUAGAUGCAGUGUUUGUGUGUGUGUGUGUGUGUGUGUGUGUAUAUAUCUCUCUCACACACACACACACACACACACACACAAUUUGUGUUUG